CCUACGGGAGACAGCAGUGAGGAAUAUUGGUCAAUGGGCUUACGCCUGAACCAGCCAAGUCGCGUGAGGGAAGACUGCCCUAUGGGUUGUAAACCUCUUUUGUCAGGGAGCAAUUGGCGCUACGUGUAGCGUUCUCGAGAGUACCUGCAGAAAAAGCAUCGGCUAACUCCGUGCCAGCAGCCGCGGUAAUACGGAGGAUGCGAGCGUUAUCCGGAUUUAUUGGGUUUAAAGGGUGCGUAGAUGGGUUGUUAAGUCAGUUGUGAAAGUUUGCGGCUCAACCGUAAAAUUGCAAUUGAUACUGGCAGUCUUGAGUACAGUUGAGGUAGGCGGAAUUCGUGGUGUAGCGGUGAAAUGCUUAGAUAUCACGAAGAACCCCGAUUGCGAAGGCAGCUUACUAAACUGUGACUGACAUUGAUGCUCGAAAGUGUGGGUAUCAAACAGGAUUAGAUACCCCAGUAGUC
rnacentral:rRNA from 1 species